CAAAUACUCCCUCCGUCCGGAAAUACUUGUCAUCAAAAUGGAUAAAAGGAAAUGUAUCUAGACGUAUUUUAGUUUUAGAUACAUCUAUUUUUAUCCAUU
rnacentral:pre_miRNA from 1 species